rnacentral:rRNA from 1 species
GACGAACGCUGGCGGCGCGCUUAACACAUGCAAGUCGAGCGAGAACUAGUCCUUCGGGACUAGGGACAGCGGCGAACGGGUGAGUAACACGUGAGUAAUCCACCCUCGGUACCGGAAUAGCCCGGGGAAACUCGGAUUAAUGCCGGAUGGCCCAUUUGCUCUUCGGAGCUGAAUGGAAAAGAUAGCUUCGGCCUUCGACCGGGGACGAGCUCGCGGCGGAUUAGCUUGUUGGCGGGGUAACGGCCCACCAAGGCGACGAUCCGUAGCUGG